rnacentral:rRNA from 1 species
UACGAAGGGAGCUAGCGUUGUUCGGAAUCACUGGGCUUAAAGGGCGCGUAGGCGGGCUAUCAAGUCCGGGGUGAAAUCCUCCAGCUUAACUGGAGAACUGCCUCGGAUACUGAUGGUCUCGAGGAGGAUAGGGGCACACGGAACUGUGGGUGGAGCGGUGAAAUGCGUUGAUAUCCAUAGGAACUCCGGUGGCGAAAGCGGUGUGCUGGAUCCUUUCUGACGCUGAGGCGCGAAAGCCAGGGGAGCAAACGGG